ensembl:processed_transcript
ACAGUGCAUUAACUUAUGUUAAACGCAACUCUGGAUUUUAAUUAACAAUAUUAUAACUAGCCCCAGCCGGCACACGACCGACCUUCAACGUUGAAAUAUGGUUGAAAUAAGGUCAGAUGUGUUUUGAACGUUGAAAAAAUGUUGAUAGAACGUUUAAUGUUGAACGGUUGAAAAACAGCCUGCAUAUGACAAGGCUUCAACGUUGAAAUGUGGUUGAAAAUACGUCAGUAGUUGCUUUAAUGUUGAAAAAAUGUUGAAUGAUAAAUGGUUGAAAAAAGUUACAGAAAUCCUUGUACAAAUCAACGUUGACAUUUUUUAUCAUGAUCUGUAUGUUGAAUAAACGUCAUGUCUUCACCCAACAUUCAACAUGUUUGGUUACCAUGGUAUCGGAGGACUAGGCGCACGCGGCCACGCGCAGCGCUUCACUUCACUUAAUUACGAACACCUGACCUGCAGUGCAGCAGAAUUCAGAGAGAUGUAACUUACUCCAGAGACGCACUAACUUGCACAGCAUUGAAUGGAAAAGGCUUUGUCCAUGUCCAGUUGAGGGGCAUCAAGAACACGCAGAUGGCCUAAACCUGUGUCAGCCUGGACUGACUGCAGUUCUGCUAUUCCACGCCAAGGCUUUUGUAUGGAUGUCUGACUACUACUGUGUUCUCUAAAGGUUUUCUGGAAGCUCCAUUUGAGGUCAUCAAGGACAUACUGAUGGCCUAAACCAGU